CCCCUCCACCCCGGAAACGCUUCCUUCCUACGCAGCCGCUACACCCGCUGCAACCGGUGGACCUUUGCCUCUCUAGGCCAGUAGGGCCUCUCCUCCAUGGUCCUGACUGUCAGCACCGUUUCGGUAGCCAGUCGGUGCGGCUGGGCCGCGCUCGGACGCUUCGGAUCCUCGAGACCGUAACCGGUGCAGGGGCGGCCCCGGGCCCAUGGCGCGGCGGCGGCGCUGACCCGGGCCCGGGCGGCGGCCGGGCCCCGGGGGCCGGCAUGGCGGGCCAGUUCCGCAGCUACGUGUGGGACCCGUUGCUGAUCCUGUCUCAGAUCGUCCUCAUGCAGACCGUCUAUUACGGCUCGCUGGGCCUGUGGCUGGCGCUGGUGGACGGGCUGGUGCACAGCAGCCCCUCGCUGGACCAGGUGUUCGACGCCGAGAUCCUGGGCUUUUCCACCCCUCCAGGCCGGCUCUCCACGAUGUCCUUCGUCCUCAACGCCCUCACCUGAGCCUGUGAGCCAUGACUACUGAAGCCUGUGUGCCCUGGAGCCCAUGCUUCCCAAGAGAAGCCACUGCAGCGAGAAGCUUGUGCACCGCAAGUAGAAAACUCACCGCCACUAGAGAAAUGCCGGUGCAGCAACGAAGACCCAACGCAGCCGAAAGGAUGAACACUGCUAUAUUUGAAAUGGAUGACCAACAGGGUCCUACUGCACAGCCCAGGGAACUCUGCUCAGUGUUCCGUGGCAGCCUGGAUGGGAGGAAGUUCGGAGGAGAAUGGGUACAUGUUUCUUAACUAGCUGGGCACUCCACAGCACCACUGUUGAUGCCAUCUAUGAUGUCAUGAGGGUGGCGGCCAUCAACAUUGCAGCCCACAGGCUGGGUGAUCUCUUUAAUGGUUCCAGAGAGUUCUCUAGCUAGAGACUGAUGCUGCAUCUGCUGGGCAGUGUUGACGAUCUCAUCAAAAGUGAUGGUUCCACUGUGCUUAAUGUUUUGCUGCUUCUUUCUGUCUCUUGGUGGUUCCUUGAGGGCUUUGAUGAUCGGACAGAAGCAGAAGGUACCACCUUAAUCUGGGCCUGUCUGUUCUGAAUGGUCAGUUUCACUGUAAUACUCGGACCCUUCCAAUCACCAGUUGCCUUGGUGAUGUCAUCACCAACCGUUUUUGGAGACAGACCCAGGGAGCCAAUCUUGGGGGCCAGGGCAGACAUGGCACUGACUUCCCCACUGGUGCACCAGUGCAAAAGGUACACGACUUUGAUCUCGUUGAGGUCAAACUUUGGUGGCAUGGUGAAGGCAGCUGGUGAACCCGGAUUUGGGAUGAUUGAAGAAAGUUGCACCUUUGCCUCCUCUGAGCUGAAAGCUGCACAGCUUCUUAUAUGUCCAUGCCCUUUCUUAUUAGGGCAGAGAUGAGUGGGUGGUAAAAACAAAAAAAGAUGCUGUGGGCCAGAAAAGACACAAGGAGGUGACUUUGGAGGGAAGGCAAGGCGAACACCCCACCUCUCCCUCUGUCUGCCUCAGUCCUCUCCCGGCUCCUCUGCCUGCUCGGGCUUUCCUCUCCCUGUCAGCAUGAUCUCAGCUCUUCCUGGACUCUGCUGGGCUCUGCUGGGCUGCAUCAGGAUCAUCUGCACCUGCCACCUCGGCACAACAGCUGGGGCCCUGCUGUGCGCUGUCCUGUGAGCCCCGGGUGUGGUCCCUCCAGAACAUGGGCUCCUCAAGGGUAGGGAUUUGGGGCUGUUCUCUUUAUUGCUAACCCCCCAGAGCCUUAGAAGAGUGCCUGGCUGACAAGAGGUACCCACUAAGUAUUUUGUGAAAAAAUGAAAAUAAACGGCAUUCUCUAUGAUAA